rnacentral:rRNA from 1 species
GAUGAACGCUGGCGGCGUGCCUAAUACAUGCAAGUAGAACGCUGAAGCUUGGUGCUUGCACCGAGCGGAUGAGUUGCGAACGGGUGAGUAACGCGUAGGUAACCUGCCUGGUAGCGGGGGAUAACUAUUGGAAACGAUAGCUAAUACCGCAUAACAGUAGAUAUUGCAUGAUAUCUGCUUGAAAGGGGCAAUUGCUCCACUACCAGAUGGACCUGCGUUGUAUUAGCUAGUUGGUGAGGUAACGGCUCACCAAGGCGACGAUACAUAGCCGACCUGAGAGGGUGAUCGGCCACACUGGGACUGAGACACGGCCCAGACUCCUACGGGAGGCAGCAGUAGGGAAUCUUCGGCAAUGGACGGAAGUCUGACCGAGCAACGCCGCGUGAGUGAAGAAGGUU